rnacentral:rRNA from 1 species
UACGGAGGGUGCAAGCGUUGUUCGGAAUCACUGGGCGUAAAGCGCGUGUAGGCGGCCUUUUAAGUCCGAUGUGAAAGCCCGGGGCUCACCCCCGGAAGUGCAUUGGAUACUGAAGGGCUGGAGUACCGGAGAGGAGGGUGGAAUUCCUGGUGUAGCGGUGAAAUGCGUAGAUAUCAGGAGGAACACCAAUGGCGAAGGCAGCUCGCUGGGACGGUACUGACGCUGAGACGCGAAAGCGUGGGGAGCGAACAGG